rnacentral:rRNA from 1 species
ACCGUUUCGGCUUUUGUUGGUUUUAAAGGUCUAUUGGAGAUUAUGGAGCCGUACGACAAGCGUUCCGUGCCCUUCCGGGUACUGGCGCCUGUGGCUGGGUUCACCUACUUGCGGGCGGCUUUCGGGUCGUUCGUCUGUAGCGCCCAGUCACUUUGCGGCUUUCAGGAAUGAAGGAGGGUAGUUCGGGUGAGAACGUACUGGGGCGUGAGAGGUGAAAUUCUUAGACCGCACCAAGACGAACUACAGCGAAGGCAUUCUCAAAGGAUACCUUCCUCAAUCAAGAACCAAAGUGCGGGGAUCGAAGAUGAUUAGAGACCAUUGUAGUCCGCACUGCAAACGAUGACACCCAUGAAUUGGGGACCAUUUGGUUGCGCACCGGGGACAUCCUCGCGAUGCUCCUCGGGCCACCGUUUUACUAAUUUACGUGCACAUUCUUAUCUGGCCCUGCCUUCACGGGUAGGUGUCCACUCACGGGAAUAUCCUCAGCACGUCUCUACUUUUUCCACGCGAAAGCUUUGAGGUUACAGUCUCA